AACAGAAUCUUCAUCAUCACACAAACCAAAAGAACAACAAUGACUUUCAUCAUCAUCUUCAUCUGGACACUCACAGUCUUUACUCAAGUGUGUAGAGGACAGUACACUCUUACUCAGAGUCCAUCAAUAACAGUUCAACCAGGACAACAAGUUCAAAUAAACUGUAAAGUCAGCAGUGCAGUGUAUAAUGGUUAUUUUUUAGCCUGGUACUUACAGAAACCUGGAGAAACUCCUAAACUCCUUAUAACAUUUGCAACAACCCUCCAGUCAGGAACUCCAUCAAGAUUCAGUGGCAGCGGAUCAAACACAGAUUUCACUUUGACCAUCAGUGGAGUUCAGACUGAAGAUUCAGGAGAUUAUUACUGUCAGAGUCAUCACAGUAGCACUUAUGUGUUGACACAGUGA